UACAGAGGUCCCGAGCGUUGUUCGGAUUCAUUGGGCGUAAAGGGUGUGUAGGAGGUCUUGUAAGUCGGACGUGAAAUCUCACCGCUUAACGGUGAAACUGCGUUCGAUACUGCUUGGCUAGAGGAUCGGAGGGGGUAUCGGAAUUCAUGGUGUAGCAGUGAAAUGCGUAGAUAUCAUGAGGAACACCGGUGGCGAAAGCGGAUACCUGGAAGAUUCCUGACUCUGAAACACGAAAGCUAGGGGAGCAAACGGG
rnacentral:rRNA from 1 species